GAGGUUGACAGAAGGGAAAAAUUUAUUUAAAGUACUAUAUUUUUUAUAUAUAUUUUUUUAUUAAAAUCUUGAAAUGAGUAAUUAUAGUGUAGUUGAAUAUUUUGGCAAAAAUGUUAGUAAAUGUGGUUAUUGCAAGCAAAAUGAAGGGAGUAAAUGUCAUGGAAUGUGGACACAUUGCUUAACUGUGCAAGAUUAUCAGGAUUUAAUAGAUAGGGGAUGGAGACGUUCAGGGAAAUACUGUUAUAAACCUAUUAUGGAUGAAUCAUGCUGUAAAUUAUACACAAUUAAGUGCGCCGCACUGAAUCUUCAGUUAUCAAAAUCGCAAAAGAAGAAUGUUAAAAAUGUUAACAAAUUCUUGUCUAAUGGCAUAAAAGACAGCACGGUUUGUGAAGAUGUUCAUUCUCUUGCUUGUGGAGAUCAAAUGAACAUAGACAAUAAACCAACUACUUUAAUGACAAAUAGAGUAGAUGAUAUUGAAGCUAUUGGCAUUGGUUCAGAAAUCAGUAUGGCUAAUACAACAGAUCAUGUUAGUAAUUCUUCAGAGGCAAACGAUAAUAAUCACUGUUUAGAAGAAAAAUCUAGCAUAAAAUCUGUGAAGCAAGGUCUUGGUGCUGAUCUUACUAGACCGCCAUGUAAAAAAGCUAAAGUACUUAGAAUGGAAAGGAAAAAGGCUAAGUUAUUAGAAAGAGGCGUUGUUUUAGAAGAAAAGCUGCAAAGUAAAAACGUGGAUAAAACAUUGGAAGAUCUUGUCAAUAAUAUUCCAGACAAAUCCGUUCAUAAGUUGGAGUGCCGUUUGUUACAUAUACAAAGUUCAGAGUUUUUAGAUACAGUUAAAGAAAGUUUUAUAAUAUAUCAUAAAUAUCAAACAGUAAUUCAUAAAGAACCUAGUGAUGAAUGCGAUUUCAAGAGCUUUGAAGAUUUCCUAUGUGAUUCACCAUUAGAGUCUUUGGGAGAUUUUGGUUCCUUUCAUCAACAGUAUUAUUUAGAUGGAAAAUUAAUAGCUGUAGGAGUUAUAGACAUCUUACCUAGUUGUGUUAGUUCAGUAUACUUUUACUAUGAUCCUGAUUAUGGGCACAUGUCUCUUGGCACAUAUGGGGCUUUGAGGGAACUAAUGUUAGUGCGCCAAUUGAAUCAGAAAUAUCCUGAUUUAAAAUACUACUAUAUGGGUUAUUAUAUACAUACUUGUUUGAAAAUGAAAUAUAAAGCAAGAUUAAGGCCUUCGUUUCUCUUAUGCCCGGUGACAUACACUUGGAUUUCUAUUGAGAAAUGUUUACCGAAAAUUGAUGCCAGUCCAUAUUCAAGAUUAUCUUCUGAUGGAGAAGAUCUGAAUUAUUGCAAUGAAAAUGAUUUAAGUAAAGUUAGAGUUUUAUGGGGUAGAACAAUUCAUUAUUAUUAUAUGUAUGCAAGAAAUAAUGAAGAAGCCGAUGCUCAUGAAGUACUGGAAUAUGCGCGCUUGAUUGGUAAAACACUAUCUAGAAGAAUGCUGUUAUAUAGGCAAUAAUAGAUAUUUGGGGAGUAGUUGUAACGUUUUAACCUAUACUUUUAAAAAACCUGGGACAAUCCGGAACAAAAAAUCUAAAUCCGGGACAAAUAAUGAUUCUAGAGAAACCUGGGACACAAGGUGGAAAUGCAGGAUUAUCCCGGCCAAACCGGGACUAAGGGUCACCUUACCCACCUUACUAAUGAGCAUAGUUAUUAUUAGAAUUAAGGCGAUGAUAAUUAGUACGAUAGAAUGGGGUUCACAAUGAAAACAGUAAAAAAUCAAAAUAAGGAUGCAUUAUACUUGAGGUGAGAUCUAAAGGCAUGUGCUUCGUUUGGUGCAUGGUUUGGUUAACGCUUACUAUCAAUG